ACGAAUCGCAUGGCCUUGUGCCGGCGAUGGUUCAUUCAAAUUUCUGCCCUAUCAACUUUCGAUUGUAAGAUAGAGGCUUACAAUGGUCUUAACGGGUAACGGGGAAUUAGGGUUCUAUUCCGGAGAGGGAGCCUGAGAAACGGUACACAUCCAAGGAAGGCAGCAGGCGCGCAAAUUAUCCAAUGCUAAUUCAGCGAGGUAGUGACAAUAAAUACUGAUACGGGGCUCUUUCGGGUCUCGUAAUUGGAAUGAGUACAAUCUAAAUCCCUUAACGAGGAACAAUUGGAGGGCAAGUCUGGUGCCAGCAGCCGCGGUAAUUCCAGCUCCAAUAGCGUAUAUUAAAGUUGUUGCCGUUAAAAAGCUCGUAGUUGAACCUUGGACCUGGCUGAUCUGUCCUCCUAAUCGAGCGCACGGAUUCGGUCGGGUCUUUCCUUCUGGGGAGCCCUAUGCCCUUCACUGGGUGUAGUGGGGAACCAGGACUUUUACCUUGAAAAAAUUAGAGUGUUCAAAGCAGGCCUUUGCUCGAACACAUUAGCAUGGAAUAAUAGAAUAGGACAUCGGUUCUAUUUUGUUGGUUUCUAGGACCGUGUAAUGAUUAAUAGGGAUAGUCGGGGCGUCAGUAUUCACUUGUCAGAGGUGAAUCUUGGUUAUUGAGAUAAC
rnacentral:rRNA from 1 species